GGGCAUAUAGCGGAGUGGAUACCGCGUCAGUUUCCGGCACUGAAGGACCCAGGUUCGAACCCUGGUAUGCUCG